UACAGAGGGGGGCGAGCGUUGUUCGGAAUUACUGGGCGUAAAGGGCGCGUAGGCGGCCAACUAAGUCAGACGUGAAAUCCCUCGGCUCAACCGGGGGAACUGCGUCUGAUACUGGAUGGCUUGAAUUCGGGAGAGGGAUGCGGAAUUCCAGGUGUAGCGGUGAAAUGCGUAGAUAUCUGGAGGAACACCGGUGGCGAAGGCGGCAUCCUGGACCGAGAUUGACGCUGAUGCGCGAAAGCCAGGGGAGCAAACGGG
rnacentral:rRNA from 1 species